ACGCUGGCGGCGUGCCUAAUACAUGCAAGUAGAACGCUGAAGGAGGAGCUUGCUCUUCUGGAAGAGUUGCGAACGGGUGAGUAACGCGUAGGUAACCUGCCUGGUAGCGGGGGAUAACUAUUGGAAACGAUAGCUAAUACCGCAUAAGAUUGAAUAUCGCAUGAUAAUUGAUUAAAAGAUGCAAAUGCAUCACUACCAGAUGGACCUGCGUUGUAUUAGCUAGUAGGUGAGGUAACGGCUCACCUAGGCGACGAUACAUAGCCGACCUGAGAGGGUGAUCGGCCACACUGGGACUGAGACACGGCCCAGACUCCUACGGGAGGCAGCAGUAGGGAAUCUUCGGCAAUGGGGGCAACCCUGACCGAGCAACGCCGCGUGAGUGAAGAAGGUUUUCGGAUCGUAAAGCUCUGUUGUAAGAGAAGAACGAGUGUGAGAGUGGAAAGUUCACACUGUGACGGUAUCUUACCAGAAAGGGACGGCUAACUACGUGCCAGCAGCCGCGGUAAUACGUAGGUCCCGAGCGUUGUCCGGAUUUAUUGGGCGUAAAGCGAGCGCAGGCGGUUAGAUAAGUCUGAAGUUAAAGGCUGUGGCUUAACCAUAGUACGCUUUGGAAACUGUUUAACUUGAGUGCAGAAGGGGAGAGUGGAAUUCCAUGUGUAGCGGUGAAAUGCGUAGAUAUAUGGAGGAACACCGGUGGCGAAAGCGGCUCUCUGGUCUGUAACUGACGCUGAGGCUCGAGAGCGUGGGGAGCGAACAGGAUUAGAUACCCUGGUAGUCCACGCCGUAAACGAUGAGUGCUAGGUGUUAGGCCCUUUCNCGGGGCUUAGUGCCGUAGCUAACGCAUUAAGCACUCCGCCUGGGGAGUACGA
rnacentral:rRNA from 1 species